AUGGUUAAAGAAGAAAAAGAUGAAAACAAGGGUUCUGUUGAAUUUCAAGUAUUCAAUUUCACCAAUAAGAUACAGAGACUUGCUUCACAUUUGGAAUUACACAAAAAGAUUUUUCAUCGGAAAGAGGUCUACCAAGACUUUUGGGAAAACGUCAAUCAUGCAUAUAAGAGAUAA
rnacentral:rRNA from 1 species